rnacentral:rRNA from 1 species
GUGUCAGCCGCCGCGGUAAUACGUAGGGUGCAAGCGUUAAUCGGAAUUACUGGGCGUAAAGCGUGCGCAGGCGGUUUUGUAAGACGGAUGUGAAAUCCCCGGGCUCAACCUGGGAACUGCAUUCGUGACUGCAAGGCUAGAGUAUGUCAGAGGGAGGUGGAAUUCCGCGUGUAGCAGUGAAAUGCGUAGAGAUGCGGAGGAACACCGAUGGCGAAGGCAGCCUCCUGGGAUAAUACUGACGCUCAUGCACGAAAGCGUGGGGAGCAAACAGGAUUAGAUACCCUGGUAGUCCACGCCCUAAACGAUGUCAACUAGUUGUCGGGUCUUAAUUGACUUGGUAACGCAGCUAACGCGUGAAGUUGACCGCCUGGGGAGUACGGCCGCAAGGUUAAAACUCAAAGAAAUUGGCGG